rnacentral:rRNA from 1 species
AGAGUUUGAUCAUGGCUCAGAGCGAACGCUGGCGGCAGGCCUAACACAUGCAAGUCGAGCGGGCACCGCAAGGUGUCAGCGGCAGACGGGAGAGUAACACGUGGGAACGUGCCCUUUGGUUCGGAACAACUCCGGGAAACUGGAGCUAAUACCGGAUAAGCCCUUACGGGGAAAGAUUUAUCGCCAAAGGAGCGGCCCGCGUCUGAUUAGCUAGUUGGUGAGGUAAUGGCUCACCAAGGCGACGAUCAGUAGCUGGUCUAAGAGGAUGAUCAGCCUCACUGGGACUGAGACACGGCCCAGACUCCUACGGGAGGCAGCAGUGGGGAAUAUUGGACAAUGGGCGCAAGCCUGAUCCAGCCAUGCCGCGUGGAUGAUGAAGGCCCUAGGGUUGUAAAGUCCUUUUAACGGGGAAGAUAAUGACGGUACCCGUAGAAUAAGCCCCGGCUAACUUCGUGCCAGCAGCCGCGGUAAUAC